ACCGGCGCACGGGUGAGUAACGCGUAUGCAACCUACCUUUAACUGGGGCAUAGCUCGAGGAAACUCGAAUUAAUUCCCCAUAGUACAUUAUAAUAUCUCAUGAUAUAAAUGUUAAAGAUUUAUCGGUUAAAGAUGGGCAUGCGUCUGAUUAGUUUGUUGGUAAGGUAACGGCUUACCAAGACUACGAUCAGUAGGGGGUCUGAGAGGAUGAUCCCCCACACUGGUACUGAGACACGGACCAGACAUCUACGGAUGGCAGCAGUAAGGAAUAUAGGGCAAUGGGCGCAAGCCUGACCCAUCCAUGCCGCGUGCUGGAUGACGACCCUAUGGGUUGUAAACUGCUUUUAUAUAGGAAGAAAAUACCUCUUGCGAGAGAAACUGACGGUACUAUAUGAAUAAGGACCGGCUAACUCCGUGCC
rnacentral:rRNA from 1 species